AUUUAGUCUACAAUGUGAAUAUUAGUUAGUUUAUAAAUAGAUUUUUACAAAGAAAAAAAAAAAAUAAAACGGAACUUUAUAACUAAACUAAAACUUUUUUAAUUUUAAGGCUAAGACAAUAUAGUUGGCCACACAGCUCUUUAAUCUGUUGGAGUUGGGAAUAUUUCACUAUUUCCUUACUGUGAUGCAAGACUUCUACUUACAGUUUACACGUUAGUGCGUAUAAAAAACAUAUUGUUAUUUCCUCAACUUCAUUCGCACUUUGAUGCAAAUGAUUUAAGCUCUGGAUUAUUUUAUAUUGGCAACACCGUAUAGCAAAAUAAUGGCAUACAAAGAGGAUAACAGAUAAAUUUUGGUGCUCCCAAAAUUUGACAACAAAUGUCAAGCUUAUAAGUGUCGUAAAAAGAAAAGAAAUGAAGAUACACAUAUUGGAAGCUAACCCUGCCUAAACCCUAUAUACGUGCAUUUCGGCAUAGUUUCCUUCACGGGAAAGGAAAUAAUGCAUAUUUCGAAAAUGCAAACGACGCAAACUGCAUGUUGGGAAAUCCUGUUUUAAAUUAGCAUAAUAUAAGUGUAUAUAAAUAAACUUUUUGCUUUAUAUAAUGACUAAAUAAAAAACCCUUUUCCUUGUUUAA
rnacentral:sRNA from 1 species